rnacentral:rRNA from 1 species
GAUGAACGCUGGCGGCGUGCCUAAUACAUGCAAGUCGAGCGAACAGACGAGGAGCUUGCUCCUCUGACGUUAGCGGCGGACGGGUGAGUAACACGUGGAUAACCUACCUAUAAGACUGGGAUAACUUCGGGAAACCGGAGCUAAUACCGGAUAAUAUAUUGAACCGCAUGGUUCAAUAGUGAAAGACGGUUUUGCUGUCACUUAUAGAUGGAUCCGCGCCGCAUUAGCUAGUUGGUAAGGUAACGGCUUACCAAGGCGACGAUGCGUAGCCGACCUGAGAGGGUGAUCAGCCACACUGGAACUGAGACACGGUCCAGACUCCUACGGGAGGCAGCAGUGGGGAAUCUUCCGCAAUGGGCGAAAGCCUGACGGAGCAACGCCGCGUGAGUGAUGAAGGUCUUCGGAUCGUAAAACUCUGUUAUUAGGGAAGAACAAAUGUGUAAGUAACUAUGCACGUCUUGACGGUACCUAAUCAGAAAGCCACGGCUAACUACGUG